rnacentral:misc_RNA from 1 species
GGUAAGACGACCGGCACAUGUCGCACGACAUGGCCCGGUAUGAACCUUCCCGUGCUUUUUAGAACAAUAGAUGGCACCAGUCAGGUGACCAUCGAAACGCAAUACGCCACGGAAUACCUUCGGGUAUCGGAUGGUAUGGCGAAAUACCGCCGACUACGUUUCUCUUUCUUCAAGAAGACAAAAAACCGCACGACCGGUUUGACUGAAUGGGCCCGUAGCUCAGUUGGUUAGAGCACACGCUUGAUAAGCGUGGGGUCGGUAGUUCGAGUCUACCCGGGCCCACCAUUUGCUGAAGAGCGGAUGGCCUGGUGCCGCACGGGUUGCGAACACAGUUGAAUGGCGCGCGGAUUAUGGUGUUGAUGAACGGGCUUUGUGCUGACGCUUGUCGGCUGAGGCUGUUCCCAAGUGAUUGGGGCUGUAGCUCAGCUGGGAGAGCACCUGCUUUGCAAGCAGGGGGUCAGCGGUUCGAUCCCGCUCAGCUCCACCAUAUAUUGUCCUGACGCUGUCGCGGCCUUUGGCCGCUGCGCUCCGGACGGGCCGCCGAACGAUCGGCGACGGCCUCUGGCCUGUAUGGGUGAACCCGUUGUUGGUUUGCCGCCUUUGUCUUCUGAAGAAAUAAAAGUUUGCACGACGCAUUUGCGUCUGUGCCUGUUCUGCAAAAAUCGUGAAGAGAAGAUUGAUCUGGAGGCUUCCAGGUAUGGGUUUAGGCCCAUGUCCGAUGCCGGUUCCAAUGAUGUCGUUGAUGGCCUAGCCGGCCGGAUACGAAAGAGGGAUCGGAGUAGGUAGGAAGCUUGUCACUCUGGUCGUUCGUUGUUGGCAUUCCUUAUGGGGAUGCUUCUGACGGAUUACUGAUGGCCGUUGCCUGACCGCGCGGUCCUGGAUCACAUCUCGAGAAGCUGGUCUUAAAGACAGACUGCAAGCGAACUGCUCGGCGUAGUUCCAAUCAAGCAGAUCUGUCGAACACGUCGAUGGCAUCAUGAGAAGGGCUGGUUGUAAAAGGUAACCGGUCCGCCACGCAUUGGGUUGAACCUCUAGGGGUUUGGGCUGAUGGGUGGCUAUAUUGAUGAGCAUUGGCAAUGAGAACGAUUAAGUGUCGUAAGGGCAUUUGGUGGAUGCCUUGGCAUGCACAGGCGAAGAAGGACGUGAUACGCUGCGAUAAGCCGUGGGAGCUGCGAA